UUGAACGCUGGCGGAAUGCUUUACACAUGCAAGUCGAGCGGCAGCGCGGGGGCAACCCUGGCGGCGAGCGGCGAACUGGUGAGUAAUACAUCGGAACGUACCCAGUUGUGGGGGAUAGCCCGGCGAAAGCCGGAUUAAUACCGCAUAAGUCCUGAGGGAGAAAGCGGGGGACCGCAAGGCCUCGCGCGAUUGGAGCGGCCGAUGUCAGAUUAGCUAGUUGGUGGGGUAAAGGCCUACCAAGGCGACGAUCUGUAGCUGGUCUGAGAGGACGACCAGCCACACUGGGACUGAGACACGGCCCAGACUCCUACGGGAGGCAGCAGUGGGGAAUUUUGGACAAUGGGGGCAACCCUGAUCCAGCCAUUCCGCGUGAGUGAAGAGGGCCUUCGGGUUGUAAAGCUCUUUCAGCAGGAACGAAACGGUCGGCUUUAAUAAAGUCGGCUAAUGACGGUACCUGCAGAAGAAGCACCGGCUAACUACGU
rnacentral:rRNA from 1 species